rnacentral:rRNA from 1 species
UGGGGAAUACCCCACAAUGGGCGCAAGCCUGCUGCAGCUCCGCCGCGUGUAUGAAGAAGGCCUUCGGGUUGUAAAGUACUUUCAGCCGGGAGGAACGGAGUAAAGUUAAUACCUUUGCUCAUUGACGUUACCCGCAGAAGAAGCACCGGCUAACUCCGUGCCAGCAGCCGCGGUAAUACGGAGGGUGCAAGCGUUAAUCGGAAUUACUGGGCGUAAAGCGCACGCAGGCGGUUUGUUAAGUCAGAUGUGAAAUCCCCGGGCUCAACCUGGGAACUGCAUCUGAUACUGGCAAGCUUGAGUCUCGUAGAGGGGGGUAGAAUUCCAGGUGUAGCGGUGAAAUGCGUAGAGAUCUGGAGGAAUACCGGUGGCGAAGGCGGCCCCCUGGACGAAGACUGACGCUCAGGUGCGAAA